rnacentral:rRNA from 1 species
AGGGUUCGAUCAUGGCUCAGAACGUACGCUGGCGGCACGCCUAACACAUGCAAGUCGAACGAAGUAGCAAUACUUAGUGGCAGACGGGUGAGUAACAUGUAGGUAUCUGCCCUUUGGCCUGGAAUAACACGAGGAAACUUGUGCUAAUACCGGAUAAGUCUUUACGGAGAAAGCUUUAUGCACCAUUGGAUGAGCCUGCACUUGAUUAGUUUGUUGGUGGGGUAAUGGCCUACCAAGACUGUGAUCAAUAGCUGAUUUGAGAGGAUGAUCAGCCACAUUGGGACUGAGACACGGCCCAAACUCCUACGGGAGGCAGCAGUGGGGAAUCUUGCACAAUGGAGGAAACUCUGAUGCAGCGAUGCCGCGUGAGUGAAGAAGGCCCUUGGGUUGUAAAGCUCUUUCGUCGGGGAAGAAAAUGACUGUACCCGAAUAAGAAGGUCCGGCUAACUUCGUGCCAGCCGCCGCGGUAAUUC